rnacentral:rRNA from 1 species
UGAUCAUGGCUCAGAUUGAACGUUGGCGGCACGCCUAAUACAUGCAAGUCGAACGAGAAAGCGCCUUCGGGUGUGAGUAAAGUGGCGGACGGGUGAGUAACGCGUAGGAAUCUGCCCAGUAGUGGGGGACAACUCGGGGAAACUCGAGCUAAUACCGCAUAACAUCUACGGAUCAAAGUGGGGGAUCUUCGGACCUCACGCUAUUAGAGGAGCCUGCGUUGGAUUAGCUUGUUGGUGGGGUAACGGCCUACCAAGGCGACGAUCCGUAGCUGGUCUGAGAGGACGAUCAGCCACACUGGGACUGAG